rnacentral:rRNA from 1 species
CCCUUAGAUGUUCUGGGCUGCGCGCGCGCUACACUGAUGCGAUCAACAAGUUUUUCCUAUGUCGAUAGACACGGGUAAUCUUUUGAACUCGCAUCGUGAUGGGGAUAGAUUAUUGUAAUUAUUAAUCUUCAACGAGGAAUUCCUAGUAGGUGCAAAUCAUCAGUUUGCAUCGAUUACGUCCCUGCCCUUUGUACACACCGCCCGUCGCUGCUACCGAUUGGUUGAUCUGGUGAAUUAUUCGGACUGCCGGCUGAAGGGGUUUCCUCAUCUGCCAGCGGAAAGUCUUGUUAACCCUAUCAACUAGAGGAAGCAGAAGUCGUAACA